AGAGUUUGAUCCUGGCUCAGGAUGAACGCUAGCUACAGGCUUAACACAUGCAAGUCGAGGGGCAUCAGUUUGGUUUGCUUGCAAACCAAAGCUGGCGACCGGCGCACGGGUGAGUAACACGUAUCCAACCUGCCUCAUACUCGGGGAUAGCCUUUCGAAAGAAAGAUUAAUAUCCGAUAGCAUAUAUUUCCCGCAUGGGUUUUAUAUUAAGAAAUUCGGUAUGAGAUGGGGAUGCGUUCCAUUAGUUUGUUGGCGGGGUAACGGCCCACCAGGACUACGAUGGAUAGGGGGUUCUGAGAGGAAGGUCCCCCCANAUUGGAACUGAGACACGGUCCAAACUCCUACGGGAGCA
rnacentral:rRNA from 1 species